UAUGUGAUCGUCUCUCGCAUAUCAAUAAGCGGAGGAAAAGAAACUAACAAGGAUUCCCCUAGUAACGGCGAGUGAAGCGGGAAGAGCUCAAAUUUGAAAUCUUAAAGGGUUUCCCUUUACGAAUUGUAGUUUAAAGAAGUGUUUUCUGUUGAGGUUUUGGUAAAAGUUCUUUGGAAUAGGACAUCAUAGAGGGUGAGAAUCCCGUAUUUGACCUUUACUUUCAACUUUGUGAUACACUUUCAAAGAGUCGGAUUGUUUGGGAAUGCAGUCCAAAAUGGGUGGUAAAUUUCAUCUAAAGCUAAAUAUUGGCGAGAGACCGAUAGCGAACAAGUACCGUGAGGGAAGGAUGAAAAGAACUUUGAAAAGAGAGUUAAACAGUACGCGAAAUUGUCAAAAGGGAAGCGUUUGACACCAGUGUUGUUUUUCUGAAAAUCAAUUAAAGAACUGUUUAUGCUAAGCUGUUUAGACUUUAUCAGCUAUCUGUUUAGUUUUGAGCUUUUCUUUAAUGCACUUUUCAGUUAACAAGUCAACAUCAAUUUCUUUUGCUGUAAAAAAGCUUGAGGAAGGUGGCUUGAGAUUCGUCUUAAGUGUUUAUAGCCUCUUGCCUAUGCAGUCGGAGAGAUUGAGGUCUGCAGCGUAGAUCCUUCGGGGCUAAAUGCAUUUGUGCUAAGUUAUAGCAUUUUAUAGACAACUUGUUGACUGUGAUUUGUCUUGUAGCUUACUCGCUUAUGUUAUUUUACCUACGCUUAGGAUGUUGAGCGCAUGUCUCUCUCU
rnacentral:rRNA from 1 species